AACCAUUCUCACCUGCGGCUAGACCUGCGGAAGGAUCAUUACACAAUAACAUAUGAAGGCUGUACGCGGCUGCGCCCUCGGGCCAGUUGGCUGAGGCUGGAGUAUUUAUUACCCUUGUCUUUUGCGCACUUGUUGUUUCCUGGGCGGGUUCGCCCGCCACCAGGACCACAUGAUAAACCUUUUUUUAUGCAGUUGCAAUCAGCGUCAGUACAACAAAUGUAAAUCAUUUACAACUUUCAA
rnacentral:misc_RNA from 1 species